rnacentral:rRNA from 1 species
UACAGAGGGGGCUAGCGUUAUUCGGAAUUAUUUGGCGUAAAGGGCGCGUAGGCGGCCAUGCGUGUCUUCCGUGAAAUCCCUCGGCUUAACUGAGGACGUGCGGAAGAAACUGCAAGGCUCGAGUCCGGGAGAGGGGGGUGGAAUUCCCAGUGUAGCGGUGAAAUGCGCAGAUAUCAGGAGGAACACCGGUGGCGAAGGCGGGUCUCUGGGCAACAACUGACGCUGAGGAGCGAAAGCGUGGGGAGCGAACAGG